UACGUAGGGAGCAAGCGUUAUCCGGAAUUAUUGGGUGUAAAGGGUGCGUAGACGGGAGUCUAAGUUAGUUGUGAAAUCCCUCGGCUCAACUGAGGAACUGCAACUAAAACUGGACAUCUUGAGUGCAGGAGAGGAAAGUGGAAUUCCUAGUGUAGCAGUGAAAUGCGUAGAUAUUAGGAGGAACACCAGUGGCGAAGGCGACUUUCUGGACUGUAACUGACGUUGAGGCACGAAAGUGUGGGGAGCAAACAGG
rnacentral:rRNA from 1 species